UGCAAACCCCUAAUUUUAGAUUUUGCCUUAUGGACCCAGCUCCUGGGACAACAAGGCUGCCUUCUCCAUCUGAUGUCAAACACCAAACUCACUCCGGCUUCAGCUGCAUGCAUGGCACACACACAUACACCCACUUAAAUGCAAAAUGGCACAGAAAUCAAGACGUUUGUAUGCCAGCACAGUAUAUGCCACUGCUUUAAGUAUGUGGCAACUUCCAAGUCAGACACGCCGCAAUGUAGACAACAUUCCUGGCUGCCUCUUCUUCACGAGAGAUGGGGGGAUAAAUUGGUUUUUCAGAUGCCACUGCUUCAUUCAGGCUGUGAGGCAUCCAAAUCAACGCUACUGAAAUCCUUUGAGGAAGUUUCUUAGUGCAGCACAUCAGAUGCAGCUGCUGGAAUUGGGAUGCAGUAGCUGGUUUGCGAUCCAGUGCUGGACAUCAUGAAUUUCAGAGUGGAAUGUUGUCUGAGAGAUGAAAGACUGCAGGAAUAAAAGAUUAAGGGCAAGAGGGUGUGAACUCAUCAAUAUUUGUACUUCUAGGGCACCUGAACCUUAGCCACACACUCCUGCAGCAUCACUGUAUGGCCCUUAAUGUAAACAGCACCUUUUUUUUUUCCUUUGCUGGGUGAAAAAUGGUGGUAAUUAUAUAAAAUUGCAUAGCCACCAAGAAUUUAAUUUUGUGCUUUAACAAUACAGAAAUUAGGCACCAGCACAGCUUCUCUAAAUGAGAUUCGCUUCAUUUCCCUGUCUCCUAGAC